GCCGUUUAAAUUGUAAAAUCAACGUCGGUAUGACCGACGUAUAUUACAGAAAUCCACGUCGGUACAUUAAUAAAAACGAUGUGUUAAAUAAUCUACCAUGACGCGAGUUAUUACUUAUGUACUUUAAUUUUUGAGUUUACUACGACGGUAACUACAACACUACUGUCGUAUUUAUUUACCACGUCCGAAGUUAAAUGUACCGUCGUAUUUUGUAAUUUAUACGUCGUAGUUAUAUGUAACCGCC
rnacentral:lncRNA from 1 species